UUAAUAACAUUGAAUAAGAGCGAUUGAUGGACUGGCUUACAGUGAGGAAACGUUAGUGGAAAGUUUCUAGGUAUAAAUCAAUUGGUAGCUUGUGAGUUGCGAUAAUGAAAAUAGUAGUUCUCGCCGGGCCACGCCGUUAUUGUGUUUGAGUUGGAAGUUGGUUUUACUGACUUCAAUUUAGGUGGUACCGCGAGCAAUCGUCCUAUAG
rnacentral:ncRNA from 1 species